AGUGAACGCUGGCGGUAGGCCUAACGCAUGCAAGUCGAACGGCAGCACAGUAAGAGCUUGCUCUUACGGGUGGCGAGUGGCGGACGGGUGAGGAAUACAUCGGAAUCUACUUUUUCGUGGGGGAUAACGUAGGGAAACUUACGCUAAUACCGCAUACGACCUACGGGUGAAAGCAGGGGAUCUUCUGACCUUGCGCGAUUGAAUGAGCCGAUGUCGGAUUAGCUAGUUGGCGGGGUAAAGGCCCACCAAGGCGACGAUCCGUAGCUGGUCUGAGAGGAUGAUCAGCCACACUGGAACUGAGACACGGUCCAGACUCCUACGGGAGGCAGCAGUGGGGAAUAUUGGACAAUGGGCGCAAGCCUGAUCCAGCCAUACCGCGUGGGUGAAGAAGGCCUUCGGGUUGUAAAGCCCUUUUGUUGGGAAAGAAAAGCAGCAGGUUAAUACCCCGCUGUUCUGACGGUACCCAAAGAAUAAGCACCGGCUAACUUCGUG
rnacentral:rRNA from 1 species